rnacentral:rRNA from 1 species
UGGGGAAUAUUGGACAAUGGGCGAAAGCCUGAUCCAGCCAUGCCGCGUGUGUGAAGAAGGUCUUCGGAUUGUAAAGCACUUUAAGUUGGGAGGAAGGGCAGUAAGCGAAUACCUUGCUGUUUUGACGUUACCGACAGAAUAAGCACCGGCUAACUCUGUGCCAGCAGCCGCGGUAAUACAGAGGGUGCAAGCGUUAAUCGGAAUUACUGGGCGUAAAGCGCGCGUAGGUGGUUCGUUAAGUUGAAUGUGAAAGCCCCGGGCUCAACCUGGGAACUGCAUCCAAAACUGGCGAGGUAGUGUAGGGCAGAGGGUGGUGGAAUUUCCUGUGUAGCGGUGAAAUGAGUAGAUAUAGGAAGGAACACCAGUGGCGAAGGCGACCACCUGGGCUCAUACUGACACUGAGGUGAGAAAGCGUGGGGAGCAAACAGG